rnacentral:lncRNA from 10 species
CAGCUAUUUCAAACCAUAAAGAUGAGGGCUGUCCCCUAGGGAUGGUAGAACUAAGAGCCAGAAAAGACUAAGUUCUCGAUAAUCAUUUGGAACUGCAAUAGUGGUCCUGGACUACCUAUCUCUAGACUUCUUUUACAUAGGGAGAAAUAUACUUCUCUGUGAAGCCACAACCUUUUAGGAUUUUCUGUCACUUGCAGGCUCCACCUACUCAGAAGUCCUCGGGCAGCAUUUAAGGACACGAAUCACCUGACUUCACUGCGGGGAAAUCCUCUCACGGCAUGACUUCCUGUCACAGUAGAAUAGAACCCACGCUCCGACCCAUGACCUACAGCUCUCAGCAUGCUCACUCUAAGAGCUCUGCCAGCUUACAGCCCUCACGUCCUCAUGGUGCCAGCAGCCUCCAAACCUGGUCCUGCGACACAGGAUCUCUGUUGGUUCCUCAUCCUGGGAUGCUUUUCCCAGACCCUCCAUGUCUAGCUCCUUCCUCCCAUUAUCUGACAGCUCUGUGGAAUGCAACCCCACCCACCCAUCAUCACUAUCUCCCAUUCUGCCUUAGUUUCUUCCUUCGUUCUUCCUUUUCUUUUUGACAAGGUCUUGCUCUGUUGCCCAGGCUGGAGUUCAAUAGUGCAAUCAUGGCUCACUGCAGCCUCAACCUCCUUGAUCCUUGAUCCUCCCAUCUCAGCCUCCCAGGUAGCUGGGACCACAGGUGUAAGCCACCAAACCUGGCUAAUUUUUGUUGUUGUUGUUUGCGUUUUUGAGAAAGGGUCUCACUCUGUUGCUCCCUGGGUUCAAGUGAUUCUCCCAUCUGAGCCUCCCGAGUAUCUGGGACUAUAGGCACGUGCCACUACGCCCGGCUAAUUUUUGUUUUUGUUUUUGCUUUUGUUUUUGUUUGAGACUGAGUCUCACUCUGUUGCCCAGGCUGGAGUGUAGUGGUGCAAUCUCCACUCACCGCAACCUCCACCUCCUGGGUUCAAGCGAUUCUCCUGCCUCAGUCUCCCAAGUAGCUGGGAUUACAGGCGCAUGCCACUAUGCCCGGCUAAUUUUUGUAUUUUUAGUAGAGAUGGGGUUUUGCCAUGUUGGCCAGGCUGGUCUUGAACUCCUGACCUCAGGUGAUCCACCCACCUCAGCCUCCCAAAGUGCUAGGAUUACAGGCAUGAGCCACUGCACCCAGCCAGACUUGCUAAUUUUUGUAUUUUUUUUGUAGAGACGGAGUUUCACUAUGUUGCCCAGGCUGGUCUUGAACUUCUGGGCCAAGUGAUCUGCCAAAGUGCUGGGAUUACAUGUGUGAACCACCAUGACUGGCCUGCCUUAGUUUUCUUAGUAGUAUUUAUCCCUGCCUAAAAUUCUCUUCGAUGACUAUUGUCUUACACAUGCAUUUGUUUACUGAUUUCUCUCCUUCCCUAGAACGUACAAGUUCCAUGGAAGCAGAGACUUAGUUGGCUUGUUCACCACUCUAUCUCCAAUGCCUAGAUGGUGGCUGGCACUCAUGAGGAGCUCAAUAAAUAUAUGUUGAAUGAAUGGAUG